GAUAUUCUUAUUUAAUCACAUGAUUUUUUAAGGAAAGGUCAGGCGAACUAAGAUGGGCUCGCGUUAUAUCAGCUAGUUGGUAGGAUAAUGGACUUGCGGGGCUACGACGGAUAGCUGGUCUGAGAGGACGAUCAGCCACACUGGGACUGAUACACGGGCCAGACUCCUACGGGAGGCUGCAGCAGGGAAUAUUGGGCAAUGAGCGAAAGCUUGACGCAGCGACACCGCGUGUGGGAUGACGGAUCUAG
rnacentral:rRNA from 1 species